CUAUUUUAUGAGAUUUAUUCUAAUAAAUAAUAAAUAGAUAACAAUGUUUAAUCAAAUUUAUAAUCAUUCAAAUUACUUUAAAUAAUUGUAACUAACAUUAUAUAUUACUUAAUGUUUUUAAUUAUAAUAAACACUUAUUUUUUAAAGAAUCUUAUGUACAGUGGCGUAUUUACAGGGGUGGUCCAGGGGUACUGGACCCCCCCCCCAAAGAAAAAAAAAACCUAUACAUAUCCCUGCAGUAUAGUAAAGUAAUAAGUAUGGAAAUUGGUAUUCUGUGUAUUCUGACGACGGUUUCCAAGUUACGGCUAAAUAUAAUAUGUGAUAAAUACAAUAGGUAUAUAUUUCUCAUAGUUUAUAUAAAUUAUUUAAUUAUGUAUAAACUAUGGACCACCUCAGAAAAAUUUUGAAAAUACGCCACUGCUUGUAUGCCACCUUAUGUUUAAAAUCUAUAGGCGCAAGCUUGUUACAAAACAAUGAUAAUAUAGACGAAGACUGAAUAUUAUUUGAAUAAUCUAGAAAUGCUGUGUUUCUUAUCAGCACAUGCAAUAAAACUAAACUUGAAAAAUAUUUAUUUGUAAUUAACAAGAUUUCGUGUUACAAAUUGUGUGAAAUCGCCACCGUUUUAUCAAAAACAAAAUUUCUGAACACUCUGUAAGUACAAUAUCUAUAGUCUAUACCAUCAUUUAUCAUUAUUAAUAUAUACAUUAAUUAUUAACCUAAAUAACCUACUUAAAAAAUCCACACAAAAUACGCCAUGUGCUCAACUUAUCAUCAGAAAUAUAAUAAUAUGGAAUCGAGAAUUAGUCACUCGUUUCGCAGAUCAUCACAAUUCACGUCCACUCUAAACGAUUUAUUUUUAAUUCGAAGUAUUUCUUGUGUUUGUAUUAUGUUUCCACCAAUCAGUUAUAAUACAACCAAAAAACAAUUAAAGGUUUAAGUAUGAUUAUAAUAUAUUCUAUAGAAAAAUAAACUUAAAAAAUUCUACUACAGACGUAUAAAAAACCGGUUAUCUUAUCUCAUGUGAUUUUCUGCUGCACACUGCACGUGACUUAUUAUAGAUACCAUUGAUUUUAGAAUAUUCUAAAAUCAAUGUAGAUACUGAACAAGAUGAGAAAAUGUGUUGCCAAAUUACGACAAUAUCUUAUAAUUUUUUACAAUUAUUGUAUGUAUAAGAAUAUUAUUUAUAUAGUUAAUAUUAAACUGCAAAAGGAUAUAAAUAAACAAAACAAAUUUUUCGUUUAUUAUUAUUAUGUAUAUAAUUUAUGUAUUAUAUACUCCUAAAAAGGAAGAAAAAAUACUAAACAUUGAAAAAAGCAUUGAAAUUUAUACUGUGACACUAUCGACACUUUUUCUAAAAUUGAUGUUGAAUAUUUUUAGCUAAUUAAAAAAUAUAAAUUGUUGAGUUACUCCACUCUUGACGUAAUUUAUUUACGUUUAUUUUUUUAUAAGAAUUCGAUGACAACCAUCUGCAUCAAGACAUAAUGCAAUACAUUUCGUUCAUUCGUUCAUUUUAUAAAUAUUUUAGAAUACUUAAUGUUAAUUAUCUAUUCUUUUUCAGUUAUCAGUUACAGUUUUUCGCAUAACUGCAAGUAUUAUAUGAAGACAAUAUCAAAAAUGCAAAAAAGUAAUAAAAAUUUAAAUCUAUUUCUCAUAGAAUCAUAAAAUUGAGUCCAUAAGUUCGUAUACACAUCAUUAUCAUAGGUACAUAUUGUCUCGAUGACCAAUUGCAAAUUUUUUAAUAAGGCUGUUGAGAGAGGGUCGUUUUUUCGUGAAUUUAGAUCAAUAAGCGAAAGAAAAAUUUACCCAGUUACAAUAGUCCGAUUUUAAUUCUGAAAACAUAUUUGAAUUCCUUAUUCUCUUUUCUAGGUUUUGUAGGAAAUGGAUAUUAAUUUUUUUUCUUUUAUUAACUCUAAAUUAAGGUGAAUUUUGAAAAAAAAAAUUAUAUACAAAUAUGAUUCAUUUGUCACUAUAGUAAUUAAACAGUAUAAAAAAUCGAAAAUCCAUUUCCUACAAAACCUAGAAAAGAGAAUAAGGAAUUAAAAUACGUUUUUAAAACUAAAAUCGGACUUUUGGUACUGGGUUAAUUUUUCUUUCGCUUUUUGGGAUUUUCAUGUAAAAAUGUUUUUAUCGCAAAAUUCAGUGACAUGUGACUGCGCGUACAUACGUUACUGAUUUCCAAGAAUCUUAGCCCGUAGUCUAUCCUAUAAAUAAUUACAUAAAGCGUUCGGGGAACUCACGCACACAAAUGAUCAAUCACAACACACACAGUUACACUAAAUUCGGACGUCGCCCGAUUGCGGCCCAAAGUAAACUUUUUACCUUUUUGCCUAUCCCGAUUGCGGCCCGUCCAUAGUAGGUAGGAAAUACUAUUUAAGUGGUUAUCAAAACUUAAUAAAAAUCCGGAUUGCGUCCGAUACGUAUUUUGAUAUAAAUACAACUAUCGUAUUAGCGAUUCAUACGAUCGCCAAUAUUCGGCUUGGUAAUUUCCAGCUCAUAAAAGAUAAAAAAAAAAAAAAUAAUCAGAUAAACUGUAAGAUUGCAAGGUAACUAGUGGAACAUAAUUGUAUAUUGUACUGUUAGUGUCGUUUGAUUCUUCGUUUUAUAAAGUUUUAAUGAUGGAAAUUCACGAAAUGCUUAGCGAAAAAGAUAAACCAAUAUUAGUAAUAUUUAAGUAUAAAUUUCGAUUUCAUAAGUUAUUAGCAAAUGAAAUAGAAAAAUGGUGUUGUACGAAUAAAAGUUGUAAAAGCUUUGUCAAACGAUUCAAUAAAGAAAUAUUAAUAAGUCAAAGUAAAUUUAACGUUACCGAUCACAAUCAUGAAGCUAAUACUGAACAAAUUUUGAAACGUCAAAAAAUACGUAAUGGUAUUAAAAGAAAAGCAACUGAAAAUAUUUGUGAGCGACCAUCAAAAUUAAUCCAUUGUGGUUUAAAAGAAAGUGGUAAGUCCAUAAUUAAUAAUAUAUAUUUAUUAUUAGCUACAACAUUUUUCUUUUCGAUUAUAUUAAUAGGAGUUGAGCAUAUUACUACUACGGAUGUGAAUUGUUUUCGAAAAGGAAUUUAUGGGGCCCGUAGAAAAAUCCUUCCAGCUCAACCAACAAAUAUAGGAGAAGUAGGUAUUUUGUGAACCAAUGUGUCUUUGGACGCAAUCGGGAUACUUAUAUUUAGGAUAAAAUACGACUACCUGAAUUCCGACCGCAAUCGGGCAACUCCGCUAAAUUCACGAAGGAUAUCGAAUAUUGUCUAAAUACGACUCCUUAAAAAUGGUACGCUUUCAACAGUCUUAAUAGUAUAAAGCAAUAUACAGUAAAACCUCAAUUAUCUGAAUGUUAUUUCGUUUCAAUUCAUGUAUCCAAACUACGUUUUUUAUCCAAAUGUCAAUGAUGCUUAAAAAUUAAUCAGUUUUUCAAAAAAAAAUAAUCAUACAUACAAUAUAAUAAGUCUAUAAUAUUUAAUAAUAUUCUUAU